UACGUAGGUGGCGAGCGUUAUCCGGAAUGAUUGGGCGUAAAGGGCUCGUAGGCGGUUCGUCGCGUCCGGUGUGAAAGUCCAUCGCUUAACGGUGGAUCCGCGCCGGGUACGGGCGGGCUUGAGUGCGGUAGGGGAGACUGGAAUUCCCGGUGUAACGGUGGAAUGUGUAGAUAUCGGGAAGAACACCAAUGGCGAAGGCAGGUCUCUGGGCCGUUACUGACGCUGAGGAGCGAAAGCGUGGGGAGCGAACAGG
rnacentral:rRNA from 1 species